UUUAUUGUAUUGGGUAGGGGAGCGUUCUGUAAGCCGUUGAAGGUGUGUUGUAAAGCAUGCUGGAGGUAUCAGAAGUGCGAAUGCUGACAUGAGUAACGAUAAAGGGGGUGAAAAACCUCCUCGCCGGAAGACCAAGGGUUCCUGUCCAACGUUAAUCGGGGCAGGGUGAGUCGACCCCUAAGGCGAGGCCGAAAGGCGUAGUCGAUGGGAAACGGGUUAAUAUUCCCGUACUUCUUACAAUUGCGAUGGGGGGACGGAGAAGGCUAGGUGGGCCUGGCGACGGUUGUCCAGGUUCAAGUGCGUAGGCUUGAGAGUUAGGUAAAUCCGGCUCUCUUUAAGGCUGAGACACGAUGUCGAGCUACUACGGUAGUGAAGUCAUUGAUGCCAUGCUUCCAGGAAAAGCCUCUAAGCUUCAGAUUGUAAGGAAUCGUACCCCAAACCGACACAGGUGGUCGGGUAGAGAAUACCAAGGCGCUUGAGAGAACUCGGGUGAAGGAACUAGGCAAAAUGGUACCGUAACUUCGGGAGAAGGUACGCUCUUGACGGUGAAGUCCCUCGCGGAUGGAGCUGAUGAGAGUCGCAGAUACCAGGUGGCUGCAACUGUUUAUUAAAAACACAGCACUGUGCAAAAUCGUAAGAUGACGUAUACGGUGUGACGCCUGCCCGGUGCCGGAAGGUUAAUUGAUGGGGUUAUCCUCACGGAGAAGCUCUUGAUCGAAGCCCCGGUAAACGGCGGCCGUAACUAUAACGGUCCUAAGGUAGCGAAAUUCCUUGUCGGGUAAGUUCCGACCUGCACGAAUGGCGUAAUGAUGGCCACGCUGUCUCCACCCGAGACUCAGUGAAAUUGAACUCGCUGUGAAGAUGCAGUGUACCCGCGGCAAGACGGAAAGACCCCGUGAACCUUUACUAUAGCUUGACACUGAACACUGGUCCUUGAUGUGUAGGAUAGGUGGGAGGCUUUGAAGUGUGGACGCCAGUCUGCAUGGAGCCAUCCUUGAAAUACCACCCUUUAAUGGCUGGUGUUCUAACGUGGGCCCGUAAUCCGGGUUGCGGACAGUGUCUGGUGGGUAGUUUGACUGGGGCGCUCUCCUCCUAAAGAGUAACGGAGGAGCACGAAGGUCAGCUAAUCCUGGUCGGACAUCAGGAGGUUAGUGCAAUGGCAUAAGCUGGCUUGACUGCGAGCGUGACGGCGCGAGCAGGUGCGAAAGCAGGUCAUAGUGAUCCGGUGGUUCUGAAUGGAAGGGCCAUCGCUCAACGGAUAAAAGGUACUCCGGGGAUAACAGGCUGAUACCGCCC
rnacentral:ncRNA from 2 species